UGAACCCCACAGUGGUUAGAACCAGGGUCACUGCGCAUCUGCCCGGGGCGGGGGGACCUGGGUCUGACCCUUCCCGGCACAGAGGCCGGAGCGGGGAGGAACCCACUUCACCCCGUCAGAUCAGACCCCAGCCCACAUCACGGGACCCAAGGAGGGGCUGACGGCCGGCACGGGGACUGACUGGCAGGAAGAAGCGGGUAGGACCCGAAGCCUCGCUCAUCAGGAAGGUGGUCCUCCCUGGACACUCCUGUCUACACCCUUGGCCAGAACGGACUCACGUGGGCACCCAGCUGCAGGGCGUCUGGAGGACCUGUGUGUUUAGGGGACACGGGUUCGAGUCCUGGUCUGGGAAGAUCCCACAUGCCGCAGAGCAACUAGGCCCGUGAGCCACAACUACUGAGCCUGCGCGUCUGGAGCCUGUGCUCCACAACCGGAGAGGCCGUGACAGUGAGAGGCCCGCACACCGCGAU